UUUGUAGGAGAGAAAAUAUUGCGGUGUCAAGCUCUGUAAAGUGUAAAUGGUGGGAAGAUCAUGGAAUCAGUGAAGGAAGAAGCCAGUGUUGGCUGUUUGAAGGCAGUACUACCGGAUUGACUUGCAUCACGUUCAGUUAAUGUGUAUGCUGCUUUUAAAAGAACAUGGAAUUGCAUGGCUGGAUUCUGCUGGUGGCCGCGAGCAUGGUGGCUGUAUAUUGAGAAUGUUUAAGAGGGAUGUGUCGAGAACAGGAGUGACAUGUGGCUUAAAUGAGAUGAGCAGACCCUGCUGUGUGUUCUGAUGGAUGCUGGAUCAGUGAACUGAAGUGAAAGAGUUUAGGAGAACUCUGGGAGGAAACUGAAGCAGUGGAUGAAGAUGGAUAAAAGGUAAAUGCAUUAAAUUCUGCUAUUCUUUUGUAGUGUAUGAAGAUGCGGUGUCUGACGUCUAUACCUGAGGAGGAAGUUGGGCUCUGUUGUUGCAGAUUCUGAUUCGUUCACACCAAUGGUGUCUGAUCAUUGACAGGUGAAGCUGCUGGACUCCUGGAGCUGAACUGAUCUGAUCUGGGUUCAGUUGAAGGAUUCUGGGCGUGACUGAGGGACAGAUGUGCUGGAGUCCAACAUCACCACACUGCUGAUGCUGAGGAAACAGCAUAUUAAAGAGCAUUAAGCAGUGGGAUGUAUCAUUUUUGAGGUGCUGGACAUGUGUGGUCCUCUACUGAAGAUACUGAGAGUGAAAGCAGGAUUGCUGC
rnacentral:lncRNA from 1 species